rnacentral:rRNA from 1 species
AGUGAACGCUGGCGGUAGGCCUAACACAUGCAAGUCGAACGGCAGCACAGUAAGAGCUUGCGCUUACGGGUGGCGAGUGGCGGGCGGGUGAGGAGUACAUCGGAAUCUACUUUUUCGGGGGGGAUAACGUAGGGAAACUUACGCUAAUACAGCAUACGACCUACGGGUGAAGGCAGUGGAACGUCGGACCUGGCGGGGAUGAAUGAGCCGAUGUCGGAUUAGCUGGUUGGGGGGGUAAAGGCCCACGAAGGCGACGAUCCGUAGCCGGUCUGGGAGGAUGGUAGCCCGCACUGGAGCUGGGCCAGCGUCCAGACUCCUGCGGGAGGGCGCAGUGGGCAAUAUUGGACAAUGGGCGCAAGCCUGGUCCAGCCAUCCCGCGUGGGUGACGAAAGCCUUCCGGUUGUAAAGCCGUUUUGUUGGUAAAGAAACGCAGCAGGUUGAUACCCCGCUGUUCUGACGGUACCCAAAGAAUAAGCACCGGCUAACUUCGUG